UAUUUGAAUGUGUCGUAGAUGACGGCAACUUUGAUUGUGAUUAAAGUAGCUGCAGAUUAAACAAUGAAAACAAAAUAAAUUACGGUUAAAACAAGUUGUUUAUGUGGGAAUCCAAUCUGUUUUCGGCAAGCAUUAUGCCCAAACUAACUGUCAAACUAGGAAAUAAAUCGGAUGCAUUGUAGAACAUUUGAGUAGCACAACGAAAUAACCUUGAACUUUGGAUCAGCCUUUAAACCGUAUCAUAGCAUUUUCAACAAAAUGAAUCGCUCCGACUCUAUCCGCCGAGAUCGCUCUUUCGAUAGCGUUCUCAAUAAGUUGAUGCGUAUGCGGUCACAGAAUAAUGAAACAUUCAAAGCAGCAAUGUACAAUUUUCUAAUAGCAGCUGGCAUUGCUGCAUUCGUUGCUGUCUGUUUCAUUCUCGGCCCAUUUGUACGUCCACUUCUUUGGGCUUUUCUUAUGGGCGCAGUUCUUUUUCCUUUCAAACGGCGUUUAGCACAACUGCUAAACGGUUGGUUUGAGCGCCUAGAAGACCGUGAUUCAAACGUUAUGGUGUCGAUAUGUUUGGCCCCGCUCGAAGCAACCGAGUACUGCGGCAGCUUGCUGGUGAGUUGGUUGCGGGAACACUGGCAAUUGUUGACAGCAGGUGUUGGCUUGGCUGCGUGCUUUAAACUGUUGAUGUUGUAUGCGCCCAAAGGAUUUCUCUGUGCCAUCUGGCGCUUUGUGGUGUUUUCGCAUACUACUUUCGUACGAUUAAUUGGUUUUCUGAAUAUUUACAUGCUAUUUGUAAUAAUCGUAGUCUACUUGACUUCGGUUUAUUUUUUGUGGAAACCAGAAAAUAGUCCUAAGUUUGUCAUGGCUGGUCAGUCGCUGUGGGUUGCUAUCGUCAGUUACGGUUGCAGCUUUUUAGGGGCACUGCAAGUACCUGCUUUUAUUUCGAUUAUGUUAUACGUGGGUGCAUCUAUUAUUUAUCAUAUGCGUACUGUCGAGGGGUCCAGCAGUUGUAUAGAUAAACUAAAGAAGUUGCUCGACAAAACAGAUUUUGAAAAGUCCGUGAGAAACAUUAGUAUAAAGAAGCAAAGCUUACAUUCAGAUGCUGAGGAUGUAUCAAUGAGUGAAACGAUGGAUUCCUUGGAUACCGUAGAGUUGGUGGACGAAAAGCAUGGCCAACAUUUAAGUGAUAUGUAUUUUAAGUGUUUGUUUUAUGCAUGCGUAGCCACAUUUUUGUACCGAAACAUAUGGAUGUUCAUAUUGGCCGCAAUACCCACAUCAUUGCAUCUGUUAUACACAUUGGGCAAUGUGACUGGCUUUACGACAUUCAUUUCAAAUAAACUCAAUGAAGUCUAUGAAACACUGAAGUCGUGGGCUAUCGAUCAUCACUCUGCCGUAUUGCCACUUUGUUUGCCUGGAGUGCUUGAAUUGAAUUAUAAAAUAAACGCAAUCAUACGUGACUCAUUGAAGUCCUCCGUCGAUUUAGUUACUUCCAUAUUGAUGAUUAUUCUUAUGCUCUUGAUAAUUACUUUCUUGGGAGUAUUUUUCUGCGUGAAUAUUUAUUCGGAAACAAUUGAGGUUGCUUAUCUGGGAAAAGAUCUGAUCAACAAAACAAUUACUGAUCGUCCUGAAUUAGUCGAUAUACUGCCGGAGAAUAUACAGUCUUCCCUAGAUGAUGCGUUGGAUAAUGCACAUCAUUAUGGACGUCGGAAAAUCGAAACGUAUAUCGAUGAUUGGCUUGCUGAAGCGGAUUCAGUACAUGCAACCAAAUUGAAGGAACAAAUUUUAGAUGUUUGGGAUCGUUUGAUACAAUAUUGGAUUGAUGUAAAUAAAUCUGAUUCCUCAUAUGGACCACGUGUGCCAACUGAUGCGCUAAAGACGACAUUCGGUGAAAUUGUUGAUAAUCCAGGACAUUUUAAAGAGCUAGUUUUAGUGGCUAAACAGGGCAUUAUCGGUUGGGCGAAGAGCAAUACGCAGACCAUACUGGAAGUAGCUGAAUCUCUGUGGCACAUCAUUCGUACGAAUCUCUCGAUGAUAAUGACGUUUACCGGUGAAAUCUUAUCUUUGUUGAUGUCUGGAGGUCAGGCUUGUGUGGAAUUCAUACUCGAUAUGAUUGUCUUCUUCACAGCGCUAUUCUAUUUGCUGUCCAGCAGCAAUACGAAAUAUGCGCCACUACAAAUCACCAAAUAUUUGGGACUGCCUACAUCUGGCUCCAAGAUCGCCGAUGCGUUGGAAAACUCUAUUUCGGGUGUGCUAAUUUCCAUGUUUAAAUGCUCCAUCUUUACGGGCCUCUUCACGUGGCUGGUACAUACAGUGUUUGGCGCCCGUAUUGUCUUUCUGCCAUCGGCGCUGGCAGCGAUUUUGUCUGCGGCUCCAUUUCUGGGCAGUUAUUGGUGUGCUUUGCCCGCUUUGUUAGAGUUAUGGCUGGCACAAGAUCGCUUCUACGCUGGACUCGUGCUCUUCCUGUUGCAAUUCUUUGUGCCGCCCUACUUUGAGGCAGCCAUCUAUACAGAAAUGAAGGGCGGUGGACAUCCAUAUUUGACUGGUUUAGCUAUUGCCGGCGGCAUGUAUUGGGUUGGUUGGCAGGGUGCAAUCUUUGGACCGCUCAUGCUCUGCUUCUUCAUUGGCACCUUUGAAGUGGCAGCUGUAGCUAUGCGUAGUAAUGAUGAUUUGAGACGCAGCUCUGAAGAAGACACCCGCGCGACGUGAGUUGCUUAUUGAACUCAUUGACACAUGCCAAAUGACAUAAGCAUUCAAAGCAAAUAACUCUACCCGUGGUUAUGUAUUUCGCCAAACACUAAACUUGCUGCUAACACACUUCAUUCAUGCUAAUACGUUUCAUGCAACUUCAACUUAUGAGCGUUGAUAAAUUUAGCUUUUAACAAGAGUUCUUGAAUUCGAGCUCCUUCAUUGGAUCAAUGUUAACAUGCAUCCACGCUGAUUUGUAAAACUUACGCAGGCAUUCCUUUUAUGACUACUAACGUUAAGCAAAUUACUAUAAUAUUAGCAUGAAAUAGCAGCAAUUAAAAAUUUACUUCUUGACUCGAUUGAUUGAAUUAAUGAAAUUAAUGUAAAAAGUGGCGCAACAGGCUCGAAUACUUUGAGAAUCAAAUGUAACUACUUAUGUGUUAAAUCUAUAUGUACCUAACUACUGCAAUACAUGGCGUAUGUAUAAAUAGCAGUUGAUUCUGAAACUAAAAGAAAAAUUACACUCAUAAUAAAUAAUGAUAACGAAUUUUGCAGUCAGACAAUGAAAAAAUUUAUCAAUGAAAUUUAUUGAUUUGUUGUGUAAUUAUAAAAUUUAUAUAAAUUUUAUGUAACGUGCUCCGCCCAUUAUCUACCCAAGUGAUAUGUCAAAUGAGUUUUUUUUGUAUUACAUUUUUUUAAGACGAUUCAAAAUACAUCUUUUAUAAAAC